AGGCCAUGAUGAGGACACUUUCCGUAAUAAAUCCUUGUACCUCUCCCAAGCUUCGUACAAUGAUUCUAGCUCCAUUUGAAUAAAAGUUGCGAUGUCAUUUUGCAUCU